GACGAACGCUGGCGGCGUGCCUAAUACAUGCAAGUCGAGCGCAGGAAACUGACGGAACUCUUCGGAGGGAAGGCAGCGGAAUGAGCGGCGGACGGGUGAGUAACACGUAAGGAACCUGCCUCAAGGAUUGGGAUAACUCCGAGAAAUCGGAGCUAAUACCGGAUAGUUCAACGGACCGCAUGGUCCGCUGAUGAAAGGCGCUCCGGCGUCACCUUGAGAUGGCCUUGCGGUGCAUUAGCUAGUUGGUGGGGUAACGGCCCACCAAGGCGACGAUGCAUAGCCGACCUGAGAGGGUGAUCGGCCACACUGUGACUGAGACACGGCCCAGACUCCUACGGGAGGCAGCAGUAGGGAAGCUUCCACAAUGGACGAAAGUCUGAUGGAGCAACGCCGCGUGAGUGAUGAAGGUUUUCGGAUCGUAAAACUCUGUUGUAAGGGAAGAACACGUACGAGAGGAAAUGCUCGUACCUUGACGGUACCUUACGAGAAAGCCACGGCUAACUACGUGCCAGCCGCCGCGGUAAAAC
rnacentral:rRNA from 1 species